rnacentral:rRNA from 1 species
UACGGGGGGAGCAAGCGUUGUUCGGAUUUACUGGGCGUAAAGGGCGCGUAGGCGGUCAGCACAAGUCAGUUGUGAAAUCUCCGGGCUUAACUCGGAAAGGUCAACUGAUACUGUGCGACUAGAGUGCGGAAGGGGCAACUGGAAUUCUUGGUGUAGCGGUGGAAUGCGUAGAUAUCAAGAGGAACACCUGCGGCGAAGGCGGGUUGCUGGGCCGACACUGACGCUGAGGCGCGAAAGCCAGGGGAGCGAACGGG